rnacentral:rRNA from 1 species
UUCUGGUUGAUCCUGCCAGAGGCGACCGCUUUUGGAGUUCGAUUAAGCCAUGCGAGUCGAGAGUCUUAGGGACUCGACAUACUGCUCAGUAACACGUGGAUAACCUGCCCUAUCGUCUGGAAUAACCUCGGGAAACUGAGAAUAAGGCCGGAUAGUUCACAAUGCCUGGAACGGUUUGUGGAUAAAGGUAGGAUGGGUCUGCGGCGUAUCAGGUUGUAGGGGGUGUAACGGACCCCCUAGCCAUCGACGCGUACGGGUGUUGGGAGACAUAGCCCGGAGAUGGAUUCUGAGACACGAAUCCAGACCCUACGGGGUGCAGCAGGCGCGAAAACUUCACACUGCAGGAAACUGUGAUGAGGGAACUCCAAGUGUGUGCAUUUUAUGUACACUUUUCUGAACUCUUAAUCGGUUCAGGAAUAAGGGCUGGGAAAGACCGGUGCCAGCCGCCGCGGUAAUACCGGCAGCUCAAGUGGUCGUCGCUUUUAUUGGGCCUAAAACGUCCGUAGCCUGUUUGGUAAAUCUGUGGGUAAAUCAACCAGCUUAACUGGUUGAAUUCUGCAGAGACUGCCAGACUAGGGACCGGGAGAGGUGUGGGGUACUCGAGGGGUAGGGGUAAAAUCCUGUCAUCCUUCGAGGACCACCAGUUGCGAAGGCGCCACACUGGAACGGAUCCGACGGUCAGGGACGAAGCCUAGGGGCACGAACCGGAUUAGAUACCCGGGUAGUCCUAGGUGUAAACGCUGUGAACUUGGUGUCGGGGGUCCGCAAGGGGUCCCCGGUGCCGGAGUGAAGAUGUUAAGUUCACUGCCUGGGGAGUACGGUCGCAAGGCUGAAACUUAAAGGAAUUGGCGGGGGAGCACUGCAACGGGAGGAGCGUGCGGUUUAAUUGGACUCAACGCCGGGA